GCCUGGGGUGCGAUUGACGCUGAGGCUCGAAAGUGCGGGAAUCAAACAGGAUUAGAUACCCUGGUAGUCCGCACCGUAAACGAUGAAUGCUCGUUCUGGGCGACAGACAGUCCGGGACCGAGGGAAACCAUUAAGCAUUCCACCUGGGGAGUACGCCGGCAACGGUGAAACUCAAAGGAAUUGACGGGGGCCCGCACAAGCGGAGGAACAUGUGGUUUAAUUCGAUGAUACGCGAGGAACCUUACCCGGGCUUGAAAUGUACCUGACGUGGGGCAGAGACGUCCCAUUCCUUCGGGCAGGUAUGUAGGUGCUGCAUGGUUGUCGUCAGCUCGUGCCGUGAGGUGUCGGCUUAAGUGCCAUAACGAGCGCAACCCUUGCUGUCAGUUGCCAUCACGUUUAGGUGGGCACUCUGGCGGGACUGCCAUCGCAAGAUGUGAGGAAGGUGGGGAUGACGUCAAAUCAGCACGGCCCUUACGUCCGGGGCUACACACGUGUUACAAUGGGGGCACAGCGCGCCGCUACCCGGUGACGGGAUGCGAAUCGUGAAAUCCCCUCUCAGUUCGGACUGGAGUCUGCAACCCGACUCCACGAAGCUGGAUU
rnacentral:rRNA from 1 species